rnacentral:snRNA from 1 species
GGAUGUGAGGGUGAUCUGGCUGUGACAUCUGUCACCCCAUUGAUCGCCAGGGUUGAUUCGGCUGAUCUGGCUGGCUGGGCGGGUGUCCCCUUCCCCCCGCACCGCUCCAUGUGCAUCUCUCCCGAAGCUGCGCACUCGGUGGAAGAGGACGAUGUCCCAGAUAUAGAAGGAGUGUACCGAAGUCUCCAGUCUUUGGUCCCGGGUAUACGAUAGCGUCAUUGGUUGUAACUAAGUAGUGUCCCCCAGCCCAGUCCCUGCAAUUCUCACAUACUAGGCAGCUGCUACUGUAAGUGACAGAUGUUUGUU